rnacentral:rRNA from 1 species
AUUGAACGUUGGCGGCAGGCCUAACACAUGCAAGUCGAACGGUAACAGGAAGAAGCUUGCUUCUUUGCUGACGAGUGGCGGACGGGUGAGUAAUGUCUGGGAAACUGCCUGAUGGAGGGGGAUAACUACUGGAAACGGUAGCUAAUACCGCAUAACGUCGCAAGACCAAAGAGGGGGACCUUCGGGCCUCUUGCCAUCGGAUGUGCCCAGAUGGGAUUAGCUAGUAGGUGGGGUAACGGCUCACCUAGGCGACGAUCCCUAGCUGGUCUGAGAGGAUGACCAGCCACACUGGAACUGAGACACGGUCCAGACUCCUACGGGAGGCAGCAGUGGGGAAUAUUGCACAAUGGGCGCAAGCCUGAUGCAGCCAUGCCGCGUGUAUGAAGAAGGCCUUCGGGUUGUAAAGUACUUUCAGCGGGGAGGAAGGGAGUAAAGUUAAUACCUUUGCUCAUUGACGUUACCCGCAGAAGAAGCACCGGCUAACUCCGUG